rnacentral:rRNA from 1 species
UACAGAGGGGGCAAGCGUUGUUCGGAAUUACUGGGCGUAAAGCGCACGUAGGCGGAUCGAUCAGUCAGGGGUGAAAUCCCAGAGCUCAACUCUGGAACUGCCUUUGAUACUGUCGAUCUAGAGUAUGGAAGAGGUGAGUGGAAUUCCGAGUGUAGAGGUGAAAUUCGUAGAUAUUCGGAGGAACACCAGUGGCGAAGGCGGCUCACUGGUCCAUUACUGACGCUGAGGUGCGAAAGCGUGGGGAGCAAACAGG